rnacentral:misc_RNA from 1 species
GGCAGACCCUACCAAAAUACACUGCAGAGAGGAGGUGACACACUGGACAUUAGUGCAGAUCCGAACUCUAAAAUCCUAGUCCACAAUCUACUGGGCUUUAUCUCCAGUACCUCACUUGAGAGAUCUUUCCAACCUCCAAAACUUUAAUUUCUCUUGAUUCUUUCACUUCCAAUCUUCUUAUCAAAGCUUAAUUCAAAGUUUUUCUAAGUUAGGUUUAUGGAAUUAAUGG